UACAGAGGGUGCGAGCGUUAAUCGGAAUUACUGGGCGUAAAGCGCGCGUAGGCGGCUUUGCAAGUCGGGUGUGAAAUCCCCAGGCUCAACCUGGGAACUGCAUUCGAGACUGCAUUGCUAGAGUAUGGGAGAGGGAAGUGGAAUUUCAGGUGUAGCGGUGAAAUGCGUAGAUAUCUGAAGGAACAUCAGUGGCGAAAGCGACUUCCUGGGCCAAUACUGACGCUCAUGUGCGAAAGCGUGGGGAGCAAACAGG
rnacentral:rRNA from 1 species